UCCCGAGCAUGACAUCGUUUCUGUUCACAACUCUUCCGAGCAUGCCGUCGUCUCCUUUGUCAUCAUCAUCAGCUCAGAUCUAGCAACUUCGCCUUCUCAGGUAAGGGCUCUGCUCACAUCUUCAUAUCCCUGCUACUAGGUUUUCGUCGUUUAUCCUCGCUCGGAUUCUUGUAGAUCUCGCUCACCUUGUAGAUCUCGCUCAGAUUCGUUUGUCCUCGCCAGACGCGCUCACUUCGCAGCUGCCGCUGUGCCUAUGCUACUGCAUGGGCCUCUGCGCCUGGGAGGCUUGCGGCUUCCAGGCUUAAGUCACGGGACAGCAGGACUUCAGAUUUUUUUAGGUCUUUGAAACAAGGCUAGCGCACAUUAGAAUCGAGAGUCUCAGUACGAAUGGGAAGUACCGUCAUAAAUUUAUCUUUGCUACUAGCAAUAGGAAGCACCGUCAUAAAAUUAACUCUGGUAAUAAAAUCGAUUGGAUAUAUAUUGUUUCUAGGAAACUAGGAAGGAUCCCGUGUAGAAAGUGUGGCUAGCUAUCCUUUUUCAUUGGAUCAUUUGGCUUUUUCUUAAAAUAUUUCUUCCAAAACAGUCUCACUUUUUUCUUAAGUUGUAUUGGUGCUCCCUAAGGUCGAAAGCAGGAAUAUUACUUUUCUGCAAAAUCACAAAAAUGCACACAUUUGGGACUUUUCCUAAGCUGUGUCUUCGAGCAACCAAAAAGCUGAUGUUAAUUUAUUUUCAUUUUUUUAAGAGAAGAAAAUUCUUUGGAUGAAAAUAUUGAUCAUUUUUUACAUGUGUACUGAUCAUUUUUUUACUGGACUGCUGUCAGGUAUAACUGGAGUGCUGUCAUAAGUGGAGUGUUGUUAGUUACAUGUGUGCUGAUCAUUCUAAUCACGUUGUUCGUUGUUAAUCAUGUGAAGAAAAUAUUCAAAGUUUUAUAACUUGAAUUUUUGUUGAAUCUGGCAAUUGUAUGGCCUAGAACUUAUUGUUCAUUAGUUAGAAAGACUACUUAAGUUCAUUAGUUAAGCAUGUAACAAAACAUAGCUUUAUGAUUUUGGCUUCAGCUUACAUGAGCACAUAUUGUGUGACAGCAGCUUCAUAUUGCCAUCCAAGAACAUGGUAGCAGCAACAUCUUCAUAUUGUUUACAUCUGUCCAUGUUGUAUCAUUAGACAACCAAUUUACAUAACUGUAUCCUUGAAUGGUAAAGUAGCUUGUAGGAUACUUGGAACAUAGCCUUAUGAUAUUUGUGCAUAUGGUGCAUAUUUGUGCAUACAUUUCUUGGCUGUGGGUUUUUCUUUGUGCAUACAGUGCAUAUUUCCUAGUUGUAAAAUAUUGGUACAUGGUGUAAACUAAACCGUGUGUCAAUUGGUAUUACUUGGUACUUGCAGAGUGUUAAGUGGAAGCAACAUAUGAAGCUGACAUGGAAAAGGAAGAUGGAACGACACUCCACAUGAAGCUUGUAAAAAAGGAGUCAAACUCAAUUUAGUCUAGUGUCAAAGUUUAUAAUGAAGGGACUUGUACUCUGUUUCUAUGUUAUAUUAUCUAUUUGUACGUGUGAAUGGAGAUGAUCUUAUGUGUGGGAUGAUGGAUAGAUUAACUUUGAUGGAUAUUAGAUGAUAUUUAAGUUAAACUUUAUCGGAUAUUAGAUGAUCAAGUCUGGUGCAUGUUUUUUAGAUUUUUAGUGAUGUUUUAUUGUGUUUUUUAUUUUUCUAAAUAUUUCCUAUUUUUCUUUGAUUUUUUUGUGAUUUUCUGAAAUAUUUUGUCUCAAGAGGGGUUUUAGCCCCUUGGUUGCCAAACAGUGGCACGAAAAUACGCUCGAGUGGAAAAAAUCCUCCUAUGAAAUUGAGGUGUCAUUUAAAAUCCCUUGGUGGAUUAAUUCCCUAGGUUUUUUGUCCAUUUGUCGGCAAACUUGCCCUUAAGGAAGAACCCAGGGACCCCGGUGCAAAGCUGUUUUUCUUAAACCUUUAAGAUUUAUUCUUUUUAAAUAAGCAGAGAACUUGAAAAAUUCAUAACUUGAGUUUUAUUCAACCAAAUUUGAUCAAACUAAUUUUGUUAGGACCUACAUAUUAUGAAUUAUCCAGCAAAAAUAAUAAACACCAUGGUUUUAGCAAAGCUUUUUAGAGUUUGGAUUUAAACAAGUAUACUGCCCAAACCUUAACAAAAUG
rnacentral:lncRNA from 7 species